CAAAUAGUUUGAAAAUCUCGUCUCUUGACGUCUGUCGACCAAUUGUAGAAAAUGUCCCAGUGCAUUAAAUCAAACGCACCGAUCCCCACAGCAAUCGCUGUGUU